GGGGAAUAUUGCACAAUGGGCGAAAGCCUGAUGCAGCAACGCCGCGUGAGUGAAGAAGGUUUUCGGAUUGUAAUGCUCUGUCAUCUGGGACGAUAAUGACGGUACCAGAUGAGGAAGCCACGGCUAACUACGUGCCAGCAGCCGCGGUAAUACGUAGGUGGCAAGCGUUGUCCGGAAUUACUAGGCGUAAAGGGUGCGCAGGCGGACAUUUAAGUGAGAUGUGAAAGACCCGGGCUUAACUUGGGCAGUGCAUUUCAAACUGGAUGUCUGGAGUGCAGGAGAGGAGAACGGAAUUCCUAGUGUAGCGGUGAAAUGCGUAGAGAUUAGGAAGAACACCAGUGGCGAAGGCGGUUCUCUGGUCUGUAACUGACGCUGAGGCGCGAAAGCGUGGGGAGCAAAC
rnacentral:rRNA from 1 species